UGAGGCAGCACAGUAAGAAGGCCCUCGGCCGGGCGCGGCGGCUCAUGUCUGUAAUCCCAGCACUUUGGGAAGCCGAGGCAGGCGGAUCACGAGAUCCUUGAAGGACAGCACUGUGCCUUGAUCUCCAGGGACCCCAGAAGCACACUUCGAGACCAUGACUCAAGAGCAAGUACUUAAUUUGGAAGGUGAAGGAACUGCUGGUAGCCAAAAACAAAGCGGAAUUGUUCUAGGAAAUAAAUUACUUGAACAGCGGAGGAGACUUUGCCCUAUUUGAUAUGGAAAGCACAGCCAAGGGUGUGGAUAUCAGAGCCUCAGAGUUAGGAGCUGCUCCAAGCCUUCUUCCCUAGAUGCCUCGUGCCCAUCCUGGACAACUUCCAAGUAUCACAGCUCUGGAUGGCCACUCAUCUUCUGUGUACAGACUCCAAC